AGGAGAAGGCCCUCCGGCUCACCGACGAGCUUCAGUUUGAUCCAUGUGCCGAUAACGUUCUUACAUAAGACGACCGAAAAAGUGUGACAUUUAAUCUGUUAUAGCCUCUUCUUGCACAAAUUUGACAUGGGAGUUGACUUCGACGGUGAGUUAACCUUGAGUAAAAACCAUAAUUUUUCAGACGGAUAUCAUGAUCCACAAAGAGUUCACACAAUUGAGCGCACCCACGUCAGAUCAAGAUCGUAUUUCGCCGUGAUCGCAGUUACAAAUUAAAGACUCAUAUUCAUCAUUUAGACCGACCAACGUCAUCAAGAUUCUUUAAUCUUUUCGCCGGUCGUCGCUAAUGCAUCUUUAAGAAUUGUAAUCUUUGCGAUGAAUUCGUCCAUAGGUACAUAAACCAUCUUUCUGAAUUGUUUGCAACUGUCACCGAAAAUGCACUUGUCGAGUCUGAUUGUCGGACGCAUAUAACCUCUUAAUCGAAAGUCAGGCACUAGCUAGCUAGAAGCCGUUUUGCAAGAAGCUAUUUACGAAAGAACUGUUAUAGUCAAGAUCCACCUUAAUAUUAGCUGAUCUUAUUGUAUUGUCAAUGGAGUACGUAGAUUGCUGGACCUUAUUACCGCCGGUGGAAAUCGAUGAUUGUAUUUCUUUGAUUUGGGAAUAGAUUGCCCAUCCUAUUGAUUGAGGAUGUAAUAACAACCUAUUUCCCUAAUAGUAAUAGUCACUGAAUCUUUACACAUAAUUAUCUAAAGUAUUUGUAAUUAUUUAGCUAAUUAAAUGUAUAUACGCCUCCGCAAGCUAAUUAUUUAGUUGAUUAAUACUAGAAUAUUGAAUGAUUAAAUCGAAGAGUGAAUUGAUCAUUCUCAAAUACUUGUUAUCUAUUUAUACAAGUUUGUUUCUAAUUAGGAUUAACUGAUUCAUAACAGAUCAGUUAUCCUUUACACCCCUUCCCUUAAGCUCUUGGAUUUAUUCCAACGAGCUUGGUUUGUAAAUUUAGAAAUUGUUUUGCCGGUAGAGGUUUUGUCAAUACGUCUGCCCAUUGGAUGGUCCCGGGAAUGUGUUCCACCGAAAUCUCCCCGCUUUCUGUCUUCUCCCUUACGAACAUGUAGGUCUAUUGUAUUAGUUAUAAAAUUAUAAUUAUAAUUAAAAUUAUAGUUAUAAUCAUAAAUAUUAAUUAUAAACUAAUCUUAACCAUUUGGUUUUCUUUUAUUUGAGUUUUAAAUCAAACAGGAUAAAAGAGUUGCAGCCCAUAAGCAUAAUGGACCGGCCCAGAAGAUUGUUAUUUAAUUAAAUCGUAUAAAUGGACCUGGUUGUAAUAAAAUAAUAUUCGGGGUUGUAAUAGAAUUAGUAGUUUACAAUUGUUAUAAAUAAUGGG
rnacentral:lncRNA from 1 species